rnacentral:lncRNA from 1 species
CCCUCCUCCCUCCAGUUUUAUUACUCUGCGCCUCUUUUUUCCCGCAUUUUCUUCCUCUUCGUCUCCCUCAAACCUAAAUCCCACCCACUACACACAUUCUCAGAAAAUCUCAGAAACCCUCCUAAAUUCAAAAACCCAAAUCACCCUCAAUGGGCGACAACAAGCGAAAACGAGGCCGUAAGCCCAAAACCCCCACCCCCGAAACCCUAGCCACCACCACCGCAUCCCCACCACCACCAACAACAACCACAUCCGCCGCAGACGACGAUGACGACGCCGUUUUCUCAGUCAGCAACGUCGAGAUUAUCGACCCCAAAUCCCCCGCCGCGGCCGCGGCCGCCCCAAGAAGCUCCCGAAGCUCUCCGAAAACGGCGACCACGACCCGCCCGCCCCGGCCGAUUCGGAUCCCGGAACGGCCUGGGAGGGCGGGGCGAGGGUGGUGCCGU